UACGUAGGGUCCGAGCGUUGUCCGGAAUUAUUGGGCGUAAAGGGCUCGUAGGCGGUUAGUCGCGUCGGGAGUGAAAACUCAGGGCUCAACCCCUGAGCGUGCUUCCGAUACGAGCAAACUAGAGUGUUGCAGGGGAGACUGGAAUUCCUGGUGUAGCGGUGAAAUGCGCAGAUAUCAGGAGGAACACCGGUGGCGAAGGCGGGUCUCUGGGCAACAACUGACGUGAGGAGCGAAAGCUGGGGAGCGAACAGG
rnacentral:rRNA from 1 species